rnacentral:tRNA from 1 species
CCUUAUAUGGCUCAGUUGGUAGAGCGCACCCUUGGUAAGGGUGAGGUCCCCAGUUCGACUCUGGGUAUCAGCACCA